rnacentral:rRNA from 1 species
GAUGAACGCUGGCGGCGUGCCUAAUACAUGCAAGUCGAGCGAACAGACGAGGAGCUUGCUCCUCUGACGUUAGCGGCGGACGGGUGAGUAACACGUGGAUAACCUACCUAUAAGACUGGGAUAACUUCGGGAAACCGGAGCUAAUACCGUAUAAUAUAUUGAACCGCAUGGUUCAAUAGUGAAAGACGGUUUUGCUGUCACUUAUAGAUGGAUCCGCGCUGCAUUAGCUAGUUGGUAAGGUAACGGCUUACCAAGGCAACGAUGCAUAGCCGACCUGAGAGGGUGAUCGGCCACACUGGAACUGAGACACGGUCCAGACCCCUACGGGAGGCAGCAGUAGGGAAUCUUCCGCAAUGGGCGAAAGCCUGACGGAGCAACGCCGCGUGAGUGAUGAAGGUCUUCGGAUCGUAAAACUCUGUUAUUAGGGAAGAACAAAUGUGUAAGUAACUAUGCACGUCUUGACGGUACCUAAUCAGAAAGCCACGGCUAACUACGUG